rnacentral:rRNA from 1 species
GACGAACGCUGGCGGCGUGCCUAAUACAUGCAAGUAGAACGCUGAAGGAGGAGCUUGCUUCUCUGGAUGAGUUGCGAACGGGUGAGUAACGCGUAGGUAACCUGCCUGGUAGCGGGGGAUAACUAUUGGAAACGAUAGCUAAUACCGCAUAAGAGUAGAUGUUGCAUGACAUUUGCUUAAAAGGUGCAAUUGCAUCACUACCAGAUGGACCUGCGUUGUAUUAGCUAGUUGGUGGGGUAACGGCUUACCAAGGCGACGAUACAUAGCCGACCUGAGAGGGUGAUCGGCCACACUGGGACUGGGACACGGCCCAGAAUCCUACGGGAGGCAGCAGUAGGGAAUCUUCGGCAAUGGACGGAAGUCUGACCGAGCAACGCCGCGUGAGUGAAGGAGGGUCUCGGAUCGUAAAGCUCUGUUGUAAGAGAAGAACGAGUGUGAGAGUGGAAAGUUCACAUUGUGACGGUAGCUUACCAGAAAGGGACGGCUAACUACGUG